GAUGAACGCUGGCGGCGUGCCUAAUACAUGCAAGUCGAGCGAACAGACGAGGAGCUUGCUCCUCUGACGUUAGCGGCGGACGGGUGAGUAACACGUGGAUAACCUACCUAUAAGACUGGGAUAACUUCGGGAAACCGGAGCUAAUACCGGAUAAUAUAUUGAACCGCAUGGUUCAAUAGUGAAAGACGGUUUUGCUGUCACUUAUAGAUGGAUCCGCGCCGCAUUAGCUAGUUGGUAAGGUAACGGCUUACCAAGGCGACGAUGCGUAGCCGACCUGAGAGGGUGAUCGGCCACACUGGAAGUGAGACACGGUCCAGACUCCUACGGGAGGCAGCAGUAGGGAAUCUUCCGAAAUGGGCGAAAGCCUGACGGAGCAACGCCGCGUGAGUGAUGAAGGUCUUCGGAUCGUAAGACUCUGUUAUUAGGGAAGAACAAUUGUGUAAGUAACUAUGCACGUCUUGACGGUACCUAAUCAGAAAGCCACGGCUAACUACGUG
rnacentral:rRNA from 1 species